rnacentral:tRNA from 3 species
GUCCAUGUAGCUUACGACAAA